AUGUUUAUCCUGUUCACACACUUUCUUCAACUCACAGAUUGCCUUCAUCAACCAGAUUAUAUUUUUAGAAAAGAGAAUCAAAUGGUUAUAACAGUCUCUGUAAUUAGUCUGUCUGUUGAAUGUGUUGUUUUCUCAGCUGUAACCUGCAAAGACCUUACUACAACUACAGGCACUGAAUAUACCUCACAGAUCUACCAAGGAAGCAACCCUGCAGUCACAGCCUACGCUAGCCAAGGGGCCUUCUCCCUCCCGCAGUCCUCCGUGUACAACACCUUCCCCCAGGGUGGACAGACCUACGGCCUUCCGCCUUUUGGUGCCAUGUGGCCUGGCAUUAAAACAGAGACAGGGUUGCCUGAGGCGCCCUCUGUUGGCCAACCUGGGUUUCUCAGCUUCAGCACCGCAUAUACCUCCACCCAGCUCGGCCAAGCGCACUACUCCUACCCCAGCCAAGGAUCCUGUUUCACUACAUCCAGUGUGUAUACUAACAUCCCCUCUGCUAAUGUCACCGAAUUCACCUCCUACAACUCCUUGAACCAGAACCAGUUUGCCCAGUACUACGUCCCUCCAUCCAGCUACCUGCCUGCCGGGCUGCCCAGCACUGACGGAGACGCUUCGGGUGUGGUGGCAGCCGCCUAUCCAGGUGUGAAGUGUGAAGAAGCCGUGCCUGCUGGCCUUCCCAGUACCACAGAUUCGUCCCCAGGUGUGGCUCUCCCCACUGGUGCUCGGGAGCAGGACGACUCGUCACGCAGGAACCCCCCUGGCAAAUCUAAAGGAAAGGCCAAGAAGGCUGACAACUCCCAGUCCAUAGACAACGACUUAGAGCGCAUCUUCAUAUGGGAUCUGGACGAGACCAUCAUCAUCUUUCACUCUCUGCUCACCGGCACCUUUGCACAGAAGUUUGGCAAGGACCCAGCCACUGUUCUUAAUCUGGGCCUUCAGAUGGAGGAGCUGAUCUUUGAGCUGGCAGACACCCACCUGUUCUUCAACGACCUCGAGGAGUGCGACCAGGUGCACGUUGAGGACGUGGCCUCUGACGACAAUGGCCAAGAUCUGAGCAACUACAACUUUGCUACUGACGGAGUGGAGUGGAUGCGCAAGCUGGCCUUCCGCUACCGCCGCCUCAAAGAAAUCUACAACGCAUAUAAAGGCAACGCAGGAGGUUUGCUGAGCCCCAUGAAGAGGGAUCUGCUCCUGAGGCUGCGGGCGGAGAUCGAGACUGUGACGGACUCCUGGCUCAGCAUCGCACUCAAGUCCCUGCUACUCAUCCAGUCAAGGGGCAGGUGUAUGAACGUUCUGGUCACCACCACCCAGCUUGUGCCUGCACUGGCUAAGGUGCUACUCUACGGCCUGGGAGAAGUGUUUCCUAUUGAGAAUAUCUACAGUGCUACAAAAAUAGGGAAGGAGAGCUGCUUUGAGCGCAUAGUCUCCCGCUUUGGGAAGAAAGUGACGUACGUGGUUAUUGGGGAUGGCCGCGAUGAGGAAUUUGCGGCAAAACAGCACAAUAUGCCCUUCUGGCGCGUCUCUGCGCAUGGAGAUCUGGUGUCCCUACACCAGGCUCUGGAGCUGGACUUCCUGUAGGAGACAGAGGGAAGGAAACAGACAUGGGCCACAGAGACAGACACAGCAGCAUAGCAUUGGGAGAUGGUGGGGAGGUGUUCAUCUAUACUAUUCCCAGUCUCGCUCUCUCUCACACUCACACACACACACACACACACAUACAUACACUAUAUAUAUAUAUGCUAUAUAUAUACAAAUAGAUCAUGACAGCUGCCACUAUGGAUUUGAAUGGGCGUUGGUGUGCUUGGUAAUGCCAUUGAGAACCAAACUGGAGCACUGGAUGACUGGAUCAACUGCCAUUGGACACCUCCUGCUCCUCUUUCUCCCUCUAUGGCAGCUAUCCUCCUCCUCCUCCUCCUCCACUGGAAGGAGCUGCCUUCUAGGAUUCCCCAGUCAAGGCAGCACAAGGUGAAAAGAACAGGACAUCUUCUGUUUCAUUUUCAUCUUUUCUUUUCCACUCCUGAUCAUACCCAAUGGAGUCUCCCCACCACACACACACACACACACACACACACACACACACACACACACACACACCACGGGCCGUCAGGGGUUGUCGCUCCAGCUGUCAUGUUUUCACCAAAGGAAUGACCAAAGGUCUGCACUGUCAUGAACUGGGAUGAUUUUGCUUUUUUUUCAUGUAGUAAUCAUUUUUUUGUUUUGUUUUCUGUAGUCUGUAGUUGCAAUCCCUCAUGUAAGGAAUCUAGAAGUUCUGGCAAUCUUUUUAUUUCAUAAUUCAUUCCAGGGCUUAAAAAAACGAAAGUGAAUUAUCAUUCAACAUGUAACUUACUGAAGGUGUGUAAGAAGUUGUUUUGAAAUGGUCACUGCCUCUACAGUUUUUGUGUUCUUGGAACAAACAGGGUUCCCUUUUUUUAGCUAAAUCCACUCCCUCCACUUCACUGAAGCCGUUUGGGUGUGUUGCUGGCCUAGCAUCAUCUUUCUGUCCGAUAAGAGUCCCACUUAAGAGUAGUAGCAGGAAGCAGGUCUACAAAUAAAGACAGCCAAGCCCUUUUCA
rnacentral:lncRNA from 1 species